rnacentral:rRNA from 1 species
GAUGAACGCUGGCGGCGUGCCUAAUACAUGCAAGUCGAGCGAACAGACGAGGAGCUUGCUCCUUUGACGUUAGCGGCGGACGGGUGAGUAACACGUAGGUAACCUACCUAUAAGACUGGGAUAACUUCGGGAAACCGGAGCUAAUACCGGAUAAUAUUUCGAACCGCAUGGUUCGAUAGUGAAAGAUGGCUUUGCUAUCACUUAUAGAUGGACCUGCGCCGUAUUAGCUAGUUGGUAAGUUAACGGCUUACCAAGGCAACGAUACGUAGCCGACCUGAGAGGGUGAUCGGCCACACUGGAACUGGGACACGGUCCAGACUCCUACGGGAGGCAGCAGUAGGGAAUCUUCCGCAAUGGGCGAAAGCCUGACGGAGCAACGCCGCGUGAGUGAUGAAGGUCUUCGGACCGUAAAACUCUGUUAUUAGGGAAGAACAAACGUGUAAGUAACUGUGCACGUCCUGACGGUACCUAAUCAGAAAGCCACGGCUAACUACGUG